rnacentral:lncRNA from 1 species
GCCCCGCCCCGUCCGCGCAGCUCGUCCGGCCCGCCCGCAGGCCAGCUUCUCUCGGGAGCCUCCACCCAGGCGCAUGGCUCCAUGAAGCAAGAGGAGGAGGCAGAGCGCGAGAGAUCCCGUCCGCCCCAGCCGCGUCUGGGCCAGGAGAAAAGCAAAACCAUAUUCCUGCUGCUGUCAGUUUUGAUGCACUGAGAAAACUUCAGAGACCUAAGCUUUUUCCAGAGAAGAGAAGCUUUACUGGUGUUCCAGCCCUAAGAAACUUAAAUCCUCAGUGUGACACAACUCAGUCCUUCUACUGCAGCAGCUCUUUUAUAAAAGCCUCCCAAAGCUCCAAGAAGGAACAAAGAAUGUGACCCAGUAAGCUCACACCAUAAGUCUAUAUUGCAGAAACCUUUGUUCAACAAAACUGCAGAUGCUCUGUUGAAUCCACUGGAGAUUGUCCUGAUACUAAGGACAAGUAUGCUCAUAUGACAUUAACAGACAAGACACUUUUCAGAAAGACAGGUUGUUCUUUUGGGCCACAUCUAAGAAAUCUUUGUCUAGCCAAAAGCCACAAAUAAUUUCUCAUUUUUUGGCUUCUGGAAGAUGUACAGUUAAAUGUUAUAUUUGGGACUGUUAUCUAAUUUGAUUAAAUUGCACUCUACAAUAUGAUAUUUGAAUUGAUGAAAAAUUAGUAAAUGUUAAUAUUUUUUAAAGUAGCCAAAUCUUGCAAUUUAUAUAUAAUAGAGAAGACUAGAAAAUCCCCCAUAUUUAUUUCCUCUUACUUCGUACUACUAAAAUUUGUAUUUAGGCAUUUGGUUUCUCAGAUAAACAUUACAUUCCCCAGUAUAUGGUUCUAUCUGGCUUGGUGACGACAUGUUGAACAUUAAGAUGUGAGCAGAAGUAAUACAUACACACUCUUUUUAAUGUCUUUAAUUGAAUGGGAUAUUGGCCCAUUUUUUCUUCCAGUUUAUUACACUGAAUAUUGACAUGUUAUUUUCCAAUAUUGAGACAAUCAAUGACAAGACUUUAAGAGUAACAAUGUAAAAAUUAUAGAAGUUGUCUGAGUUUAUCAACAAUCCCCUGGAUUAGAACCCCCUACCAGUUCUAGGUCAUCUAAUAUAUAGACAUUGUGUUCAGUAGAAAUAAAUAUAUAUAUUUUUUAAUAUACUUUAAGUUCUAGGAUACAUGUGCACAACAUGCAGGUUUGUUACAUUGGUAUACACAUGCCAUGUUGGUUUGCUGCACCCAUUAACUCAUCAUUUACAUUAGUUAUUUCUCCUAAUGCUAUCCCUCCCCCUGCCCCCCACCCCCCGACAGGCCCUGGGGUGUGAUGUUCCCCACCCUGUGUCCAAGUGUUCUCAUUGCUCAAUUCCCACCUAUGGGAAUACAUUUUUAAAUCAUUUUUAAAGGUGUUAUUACAUUCUGAUUGAACAUUUUCAGAAAGAAUAAAUAAUUUAAUACAAGAAGUGGGCCACUUCAUGUAACAAAACAAACCACCACUACAGCAACAACAACAAAAAACACUAAUGAAUGUGACUUUAGCUUUGCAACAUCAUGACAGACUAGCAAGUUAAUGACAUUUGUUAUGCCAUAGAAAAUAUUUGUUGAAUUGCCACUCUAAUGACUUUAUAUCAGCCAACUCAUUAUCAACACUAGAAAAGAUGAUUAAAAAAUACUUCAGUACGUUCAUGUGUUGGCUUGUUAACAUUUUUAAGAGUCUAUAAGAGAAAAAUGCAUCCAAUCUCGGCAAAAAUAUUUUUCAAGUAUCUUGUAGGUACGUACAACUAACUACCUUGUGAACAAAAGUCACUAUAUAAUUAUAUAAUUUCUGACACUUAAAAAAGUUUAUUGUGCAAAAGAAGAUAUAUGUUCUAAUACCAAAUCCACAUAUAAAAUAAUUGACUUAUUUAAAUAAUUUAAGAUGCUCUUUUAUAUAUUUAUAUUAAAAACUUUACAGAGAAUAAAAAAGGCAUUAUACAGGCUGCUUAUGGUUUUUGAUGUUUGGAUAUACAAUACAUGUAUCAAAGAUUGUGGAAAUAAAUCAAGCAAUAUAUUCAAUUG